GCAACUCCUGCCCGCUCACGCAGGGGCCCUCUCCUGCCCGGGGCCCCAGUCCCCAGCCGCCGGGGGCCAGGGUGCGCGGCCGCGGGGGUUCCUCGGGGCUCCCUGGCGGACCCGAGCAGCCCUGGGGCGGGGUGGCUGGGCCCAGGCCGUGCCGGGAGAGGCCAGCCUCCAGCUUCUGCUCCAGCUCCUGCAGCUCGGCCUCCUGCCUCCGCGGCGUCUCGUCCUGCAGUUGCUGCUGGAGCUGGUGAUGGAGUCUUUGGCACGGACCAAUCCACUGUUGACUCCACUCUGGGGAAGAAUGAGAGACAGUGGCUGUGUGACUGCAGACCAGGGGCUGCACCUCUUUGCUUCUUAGUGUUCCUGCUCAGUGAACUCAGGGGGUGGACUACACUUCUUCAUGGAGGGCUGAGAGGAAAAUUAAAGGAAGAUGCCCAAAGAACCCUCUUGCAGCUGGUUAUAGCCAUGUGACCAAUGCCAGCCAAUAGGAGGUAAGUUGGCCAGAUGUGGGCACUGAGUGACAUGUUGAAAGAACAGGCAUGAUUCCUCCUCUUCUUUCCCCUUUCUUUUUCUUCCUUUCUUUUCUUUUCUUUCUUUCUUUCUUUCUUUUUUUU